rnacentral:rRNA from 1 species
GCAGAACGCGAAGAACCUUACCAAGGCUUGACAUAUACGAGAACGCUCUAGAAAUAGAGAACUCUUUGGACACUCGUAUACAGGUGGUGCAUGGUUGUCGUCAGCUCGUGUCGUGAGAUGUUGGGUUAAGUCCCGCAACGAGCGCAACCCUCGUUCUAUGUUGCCAGCGGUUCGGCCGGGAACUCAUAGGAGACUGCCGGGGUCAACUCGGAGGAAGGUGGGGAUGACAUCAAAUCAUCAUGCCCCUUAUGUCUUGGGCUUCACGCAUGCUACAAUGGCCGGUACAAAGGGCUGCAAUACCGUAAGGUGGAGCGAAUCCCAAAAAGCCGGUCUCAGUUCGGAUUGAGGUCUGCAACUCGACCUCAUGAAGUCGGAGUCGCUAGUAAUCGCAGAUCAGCAACGCUGCGGUGAAUACGUUCCCGGGUCUUGUACACACCG